rnacentral:rRNA from 1 species
AUUCCAGCUCCAAUAGCGUAUAUUAAAGUUGUUGCAGUUAAAAAGCUCGUAGUUGGAUUUCUGGUCCUUCGUUUAUGUCCUCCGAAAGGAGUGUACGUACGCGGGGGGCCAUCCUCUCGAAGACUGCGUGUGCUCUUAACUGAGUGUGCGGAGGAUUCGGGACCUUUACUUUGAAAAAAUUAGAGUGUUCAAAGCAGGCCAUCGCUUGAAUACAUUAGCAUGGAAUAAUGGAAUAGGACUUUGGUUCUAUUUUGUUGGUUUCUAGGACUAAAGUAAUGAUUAAUAGGGACAGUUGGGGGCAUUAGUAUUUAAUUGUCAGAGGUGAAAUUCUUAGAUUUAUGAAAGACUAACUUCUGCGAAAGCAUUUGCCAAGGAUGUUUUCAUCA